GACGUCGACGUGGCGCGGGCUCCAUCGGGCAUGUAAGAAGAAAGCAAAGGAGGAAGACGAUGCUGUGAGAGAUGGCGUAUUUCGGGGAAAUACGCCUUCGCCGCUGGGAGGCGCUGGGCGCACCGGGAGAAGAUGGGCCGAGUGGGCUGGGUUGGCCUGGGCCGACUCGGGCCGAAAAGGUAAGAGGUAAGUUUUCUUUUCUUUUUCCUUUUUUCCUUUUUCUGUUUUCUCUUUUGCAAAUAGCUUUUGAUUCAAAAUUCAAAUACCAUUUUGAAGAGCUAAGAAAUAGGAGAAUCCAAAUAUGGUACUAGUAUUUGGAAAUGGUCAAAUGGGAUUAAAGAUUGUA
rnacentral:lncRNA from 1 species